GACGAACGCUGGCGGCGUGCUUAACACAUGCAAGUCGAGCGGUAAGGCCCUUCGGGGUACACGAGCGGCGAACGGGUGAGUAACACGUGGGUGACCUGCCUCUAGCUCUGGGAUAAGCCUGGGAAACCGGGUCUAAUACCGGAUAUGACUCCAUGACGCAUGUUGUGGGGUGGAAAGCCUUGUGCGGCUGAGGAUGGGCCCGCGGCCUAUCAGCUUGUUGGUGGGGUGAUGGCCUACCAAGGCGACGACGGGUAGCCGGCCUGAGAGGGCGACCGGCCACACUGGGACUGAGACACGGCCCAGACUCCUACGGGAGGCAGCAGUGGGGAAUCUUGCGC
rnacentral:rRNA from 1 species